rnacentral:rRNA from 1 species
AGAGUUUGAUCCUGGCUCAGGAUGAACGCUAGCGACAGGCUUAACACAUGCAAGUCGAGGGGCAGCAUGAUUUGUAGCAAUACAGAUUGAUGGCGACCGGCGCACGGGUGAGUAACGCGUAUGCAACUUACCUAUCAGAGGGGGAUAGCCCGGCGAAAGUCGGAUUAAUACCCCAUAAAACAGGGGUCCCGCAUGGGAAUAUUUGUUAAAGAUUCAUCGCUGAUAGAUAGGCAUGCGUUCCAUUAGGCAGUUGGCGGGGUAACGGCUCACCAAACCGACGAUGGAUAGGGGUUCUGAGAGGAAGGUCCCCCACAUUGGUACUGAGACACGGACCAAACUCCUACGGGAGGCAGCAGUGAGGAAUAUUGGUCAAUGGCCGAGAGGCUUAACCAGCCAAGUCGGGUGAAGGAAGAAGGAUCUAUCGUUUGUAAACUUCAUUUAUAGGGGAAUAAAGUGUAGGACGUGUCCUUUUUUGUAUGUACCCUAUGAAUAAGCAUCGGCUAACUCCGUGCCAGCAGCCGCGGUAAUACGGAGGAUGCGAGCGUUAUCCGGAUUUAUUGGGUUUAAAGGGUGCGUAGGUGGUGAUUUAAGUCAGCGGUGAAAGUUUGUGGCUCAACCAUAAAAUUGCCGUUGAAACUGGGUUACUUGAGUGUGUUUGAGGUAGGCGGAAUGCGUGGUGUAGCGGUGAAAUGCAUAGAUAUCACGCAGAACUCCGAUUGCGAAGGCAGCUUACUAAACCAUAACUGACACUGAAGCACGAAAGCGUGGGGAUCAAACAGGAUUAGAUACCCUGGUAGUCCACGCAGUAAACGAUGAUUACUAGGAGUUUGCGAUACAAUGUAAGCUCUACAGCGAAAGCGUUAAGUAAUCCACCUGGGGAGUACGCCGGCAACGGUGAAACUCAAAGGAAUUGACGGGGGCCCGCACAAGCGGAGGAACAUGUGGUUUAAUUCGAUGAUACGCGAGGAACCUUACCCGGGUUUGAACGUAGUCUGACCGGAGUGGAAACACUCUUUCUAGCAAUAGCAGAUUACGAGGUGCUGCAUGGUUGUCGUCAGCUCGUGCCGUGAGGUGUCGGCUUAAGUGCCAUAACGAGCGCAACCCUUAUCACUAGUUACUAACAGGUGAAGCUGAGGACUCUGGUGAGACUGCCAGCGUAAGCUGUGAGGAAGGUGGGGAUGACGUCAAAUCAGCACGGCCCUUACAUCCGGGGCGACACACGUGUUACAAUGGCAUGGACAAAGGGCAGCUACCUGGUGACAGGAUGCUAAUCUCCAAACCAUGUCUCAGUUCGGAUCGGAGUCUGCAACUCGACUCCGUGAAGCUGGAUUCGCUAGUAAUCGCGCAUCAGCCAUGGCGCGGUGAAUACAUUCCCGGACCUUGUACACACCGCCCGUCAAGC